UGGGGAAUAUUGGACAAUGGGCGCAAGCCUGAUCCAGCCAUGCCGCGUGAGUGAAGAAGGCCUUAGGGUUGUAAAGCUCUUUCACCGAUGAAGAUAAUGACUGUAGUCGGAGAAGAAGCCCCGGCUAACUUCGUGCCAGCAGCCGCGGUAAUACGGAGGGUGCAAGCGUUGUUCGGAAUUACUGGGCGUAAAGCGCGUGUAGGCGGCCUUGUAAGUCAGAUGUGAAAGCCCUCGGCUCAACCGGGGAAGUGCAUCUGAAACGGCAAGGCUUGAGUACGGGAGAGGGAGGCGGAAUUCCCAGUGUAGAGGUGAAAUUCGUAGAUAUUGGGAGGAACACCGGUGGCGAAAGCGGCCUCCUGGACCGAUACUGACGCUGAGACGCGAAAGCGUGGGGAGCAAACAGGAUUAGAUACCCUGGUAGUCCACGCGGUAAACGAUGGGCACUAGGUGUGGGGGGUAUCCACUCCUCCCGUGCCGCAGCUAACGCAUUAAGUUAUCCGCCUGGGGAGUACGGUCGCAAGAUUA
rnacentral:rRNA from 1 species